CACGUAGGAGGCAAACGUUAUCCGGAUUUACUGGGCGUAAAGCGCGUGUAGGUGGUUCUGUAAGUAGGGCGUGAAAGCUCCCGGCUCAACUGGGAGUGGCCGUUCUAAACUGCAGAGCUAGAGGAUGGUAGAGGGAGGUGGAAUUCCAGGUGUAGCGGUGGAAUGCGCAGAUAUCUGGAGGAACACCAGUGGCGAAGGCGGCCCUCCUGGACCAUUCCUGACACUCAGACGCGAAAGCUAGGGUAGCAAACGGGAUUAGAUACCCUGGUAGU
rnacentral:rRNA from 1 species